UUUUCCUACGGGGGGCAGCAGUGAGGAAUAUUGGUCAAUGGGCGGGAGCCUGAACCAGCCAAGUCGCGUGAGGGACGACGGUCCUAUGGAUUGUAAACCUCUUUUGUCGGGGAACAAAGGCGCCCACGGGUGGGCGGAUGAGUGUACCCGAAGAAAAAGCAUCGGCUAACUCCGUGCCAGCAGCCGCGGUAAUACGGAGGAUGCGAGCGUUAUCCGGAUUUAUUGGGUUUAAAGGGUGCGUAGGCGGGACGGUAAGUCAGCGGUAAAAAUGCGGAGCUCAACUCCGUCGAGCCGUUGAAACUGCC
rnacentral:rRNA from 1 species